UGGGUGUUCUUGUGCACAUGAAUGCGA
rnacentral:piRNA from 1 species